ensembl:lncRNA
UAUGUGUUCUUCUAGAUGGAGAGCAAGGUGAACCCUCAGCAUCCAAGGACAGCGACACCAGCACCACUGAAGACGAUGCCACAGAGCAGAAGAAGGAGCCGAGGAAGGAAUUGGAAGACAAUCAGCCUCAGAUGGAUGGCCGGCAAACUGUGUGAAGGCACACACACACACACACACACACACACACACACACACACACACACACACACACACACACACACACACACACACACACACACACACACACACACACACACACACACACACACUCACACCACACCAACUGUGUAUCACACUGAUUAAGGCCCAGGACCAUGCUUCUAAAUCACUAGUUUCCUAUUCUAUUCAACCCUUGUUGCUCUCUAUCAUGAUGAAAUGAAAUGAAAUAACUAUGAGAUAUACCUAUAUGUAACGUAUUUCCUGAACAACUGUAUAAAUGAACAUAUCAGAGAUAUUGAGGUGCGGGUGGGCGGGGUUUACUGGUCAUACCUCACUGAGAUGCUGCUUGAAUACUCCCAUAAUCCAUUGGGGCAUCCUAGUGCUGGAAUUCUAUGGUUUCAUAGUCUGCCACAGGAGAGCUUGAGAGGAAGACUAUAUCCAUGCCACUUUUCCUCCACACACUUGACAAGCCCACAUACUAAGAGGCCAACACAAGUGAAUAGAGCAAGAUUAGUAAUUGUUUAAAUAUAACUGACAAAUGUUAGGCUUAUACGUCAUGAAUUGUGCUCAUUAAGUAACACUACAGUUGAUGCUGACAAGGCCUAGUAAGGCUGAUACCAGUUUUAGUUCUACCUUUGUUUCCUAAGUGUGAGUGGACUUUGAAACCAAGUGAGUGGGCUUUUAGACCAAGUUAUUUACCAAGUGAUGAAAAGAUGGAAAAGGUACACAUCAGACAGCACUAACUGUUUAUCAUUUCUCUUCAAGUGUUUUUCAUCUGACUUCUGAUGCUCCGCCAUCGCAGCUUAAGUUCCACUCAGCUCAGCUCUGGCCCUGAUAGGGGCCGCACGUGUGUGAUGUAGUCUGCUUUGAAACACCUCAAAAACCGCGCUGAUAAAAAAAAUUCAAAAAAAUCUCUGGAAAGGGCAUUGAUCACGGCUGAUCUUCAAAGCCACCGUGACUUUGCAAGAGCUUAUUAAAGAGGAAUACAUUCAUCUCAUCUGCUUGGCGGCUCCGUUUAGAUGCGUCUUUUAACAAAUUAGUUCUUUCAGGGUGUAGUUCCUAGUGCAUGCCAGCAUUUGUUUUCAAACUUUAAUCCUCCACUCUGCAUAAUUACUCUUUUUUCUGUCGAUAUUUUUCACCUGACUGUCUCAAGACUGUCUCAAGAAUCUGCCUUAUUUCACAUAACAACACAUGAUCUCAAACCAGGGGUGUUUGAAUAUAUCAUUUUGGAUGAGGGCCAUUGAUCAAUUCUGGUGGUGGAUGCGGUGAUUGUUAUUUUCUUUUUAACUAGCAAAAAAAAAAACAUUAACUUUUAUUUUUCUUUCUCUCAAAAAAAAAAAGAUUAGUUCCUGUGAAUGGUGCCAUACAGUACAUUAAAUGAGAAUCAAUUAAACGAUGCCUUCAUACUUUGAUGUUUGCUUUGCUAAACAAAACUAUCAAUAAAGAUUCAAACCGUUGUUUCCCUGGCUGGCC